CUGCUGCGACAUCAACGCAAGUCAAAACCUCACUUCGGAGCGGCACUCAUUGGCAUGACCCAACGGAGUAUGCAAGCAUGUCUCUGUCGAGCUCAAUCAGGCUCACACAGGCUAUAGUCAAUGCAAGUGGGUCAAAACUAGUCUAACAACCAAAACUCACGUACCCUCAGCACAAUUUAAAAUAAGAUGUAAACAUCUGGAUCCACCAUCAACUCUGACGACACCCGACAAUACAGAACAGUCUAAACACUACUAUAAAAU
rnacentral:lncRNA from 1 species